AGUCUACGGGAGGCAGCAGUGGGGAAUAUUGCGCAAUGGGGGCAACCCUGACGCAGCCAUGCCGCGUGAAUGAAGAAGGCCUUCGGGUUGUAAAGUUCUUUCGGUGACGAGGAAGGCGUGAUGUUUAAUAGGCAUCACGAUUGACGUUAAUCACAGAAGAAGCACCGGCUAAUUCCGUGCCAGCAGCCGCGGUAAUGACU
rnacentral:rRNA from 1 species